UGAACGCUGGCGGCAGGCCUAACACAUGCAAGUCGAACGGUAACAGGAAGAAGCUUGCUUCUUUGCUGACGAGUGGCGGACGGGUGAGUAAUGUCUGGGAAACUGCCUGAUGGAGGGGGAUAACUACUGGAAACGGUAGCUAAUACCGCAUAACGUCGCAAGACCAAAGAGGGGGACCUUCGGGCCUCUUGCCAUCGGAUGUGCCCAGAUGGGAUUAGCUAGUAGGUGGGGUAACGGCUCACCUAGGCGACGAUCCCUAGCUGGUCUGAGAGGAUGACCAGCCACACUGGAACUGAGACA
rnacentral:rRNA from 1 species